rnacentral:tRNA from 1 species
GCCGACAUAGCUCAGUUGGUAGAGCAGCCGCCUUGUAAGCGGCAGGUCAUGGGUUCGAGUCCCAUUGUCGGCU